rnacentral:rRNA from 1 species
UAAUUUGUAGAGGAUACUUCUGAGUGGCCACCGACCUAAGUUCCUUGGAACAGGACGUCAUAGAGGGUGAGAAUCCCGUAUGCGGUCGGAAAGGCGCUCUAUACGUAGCUCCUUCGACGAGUCGAGUUGUUUGGGAAUGCAGCUCUAAAUGGGAGGUAAAUUUCUUCUAAAGCUAAAUAUUGGCCAGAGACCGAUAGCGCACAAGUAGAGUGAUCGAAAGAUGAAAAGCACUUUGGAAAGAGAGUUAAAAAGCACGUGAAAUUGUUAAAAGGGAAGG